CCCGCAACGAGCGCAACCCUUAAGCUUAGUUGCCAUCAUUAAGUUGGGCACUCUAAGUUGACUGCCGGUGACAAACCGGAGGAAGGUGGGGAUGACGUCAAAUCAUCAUGCCCCUUAUGAUUUGGGCUACACACGUGCUACAAUGGACAAUACAAAGGGCAGCGAAACCGCGAGGUCAAGCAAAUCCCAUAAAGUUGUUCUCAGUUCGGAUUGUAGUCUGCAACUCGACUACAUGAAGCUGGAAUCGCUAGUAAUCGUAGAUCAGCAUGCUACGGUGAAUACGUUCCCGGGUCUUGUACACACCGCCCGUCACACCACGAGAGUUUGUAACACCCGAAGCCGGUGGAGUAACCUUUUAGGAGCUAGCCGUCGAAGGUGGGACAAAUGAUUGGGGUGAAGUCGUAACAAGGUAGCCGUAUCGGAAGGUGCGGCUGGAUCACCUCCUUUCUA
rnacentral:rRNA from 1 species